UAUCACUGUCUCUCAUCUUCAGACUUUAAAAGGACUAAGGCAUGCUCUUUCAUAAAGAGUUGAGGACAGUUCUGAGAAGGUCGAGUUCCAAUCCAGUGAAGCAAGACUGAGGUGUUUGCAUUGGAGAGAAUGAGGAGAAUCUCGGAAAAUGAAAUAAACAGAGCGCAUGAGUGGAACUGAAGAGCAGCCUUGGGAACCGCAGCUCAGCCUUGCCAUCAACUGAGCUGUCUUCUCAGGAAGGCCUCCCCUGACCGUCUUCUCUGAAAGGUCAACUCUCCGCAACCCCCGCCUCAGACAGCAAGAAGCCCUUCUUGGUGCCAGUCACUGCGCUGACACUGGAGUUGCAGAGACAGAUGAGACACAUCUCUGUGCUCAAGGUGUUCCUGUGGCUUGUCCUUUUAAGGUCACUGUAGUCCUGACUCUUGCUCUACUCCCCAGAGAGAGAAACCUCCAAAGACAGAAUCUUGAAAUGAAAAGUGUACAAUGUGAAAAGUGGCCCAAACACUCAGUGGUGAUCAAGACACUAUUGACGCUGAUGGUGGUGAAAUCCUUCCUUCAAGUUUGUACUCUUGCUUUUCCUCUUUGUACCAUGUUUUUACUUGUCCACCCCUCACUCUCUUCUCUUUGCCAACAUCCCAGUGGAGUGGUGCCAGGUAGCCUAAGGAUAUGACAAUGAUUUACAGGCAAUGCUGUGCCUUGAAAAUGCCAGUGAAGCCCGUUGAACGCUGCUGAGCGGGAGCCCCCUCCUCUCACCCACAUAAACAAGCCGGCCCUAGGGGCCUCAGUCAGUCCCAGACUUCUUGGCUCCUGCUGGGCAACCGGGGCUGUGACUCGCUGGCUCAGCCACUUAAGUACCAUCCAAAUAGUAUGAGAAGGGUGAGGCCCGGCCCGUGUCAUGGACCUGACCCUCUGCAGAAUGCUGGGUCCUGGCCAAUUAGUCCAGAACCAGGAAACUCAGUGCACACACAUCAUUACUUCAAACAACCUUCGUUAAUAAGCAAAAAGCCAAUCAUUGGUUUGAUUCAAUAAGUUAGAGUACCAAUGAAUGUUUUAAAGUAAAAUGGUUUUUAAAGAUAUUGAAGAAAAAAACCACACUCCGGAUUCAUUUUAAUGGAGCAAAGCUCGCUCACAAAGCUACAUUGAGAAUUCAGAGCAGGGGGCUUUGGGGAAGGGAGGGUGAAGCUAAAGAGGACCCUUGUCCAAGAGAAAAGAGGGGGAAUUGAGAACAGUGGGCCGGGGUGGGCGGAAUAUUAGCUCUGCAACUAUGAAGGAACCCACUCUCUUCCCUGGAGUGCUUAAGCCCACAAGACGCCCUGAGCAAUGGCAAAGGACCAUGUGUGGCUAUCUGACCCUAUUUAGAGGUGCUUGGAUUAUUUACUUCAUUGUGAUUUAAUCUCACCUUUUUCUACCACAUCUCCCCUCCCAACUCCUGCAUUGAACUAGUGGCUGCUCAGGAUGAGCAAUGAACUGAGGCAGAGACUUGGGUGCCAGUCCUGCCAGGAAGCUGAUCUGACUAUAUGUGGCUCCUCGACCUUGUUUGUGAUCAAAGUACCACUCACCCAAUAAACCCAGAACACAGCCUCUCUGCCGAGCAAGGUAGUGGGAAGCCAUCACUUCCCUCUGAGGGCAUAUGAGCAAAUGGGGCUGAGAGUCCACCUAAAUGUCUACAUGAACAGAACAACUCUGCAAACAGAUCGGCAUCGCUGAAUUUCCGAAACAGGAGAAAGUGCGAGCAUCUCCAGUCUCUGUGAAUUGUGGUGCAGAUUCUUCUAGGAGUAACAGCUCCAUGGCAUCAUGGAAUCUGGAAUCUAAAUAUUUGCUUUAGGAGAUUAGAGGAAGGCUGUUAAAUCAUAAACGAUGUCCUGAUUUUGUGCUCCCACAUACAGGUCAUUCUUUACAUUUAUUGAAAUGGGAGAAAGGGUUAUGUCUCUAUCACUCUUUAUUCCUUAAAAUAAAGCCUUCCCUUUCUUUGAGGCUAUUCAUUAAUUUUCAUAAUUUGGUAUCUGGAUUUUAUAGAAUACUUCACAAUUUAACACCUCUUUUGCUCCCUUCUCAUAACAGCCCUGGUCAUCACUUUCAUAAUCAUAUUUUCUUACAACUAUAUAUUGCUCUUCAUGGUUCAUAAAACACAUAUUCAUGAUCUCAUGAACCCCCCAGAAGCCCCAGGAGGCCGAUAAAGCAGUUGCUAUCAUACACAUUUUACAGGCGAGAAAACUGCCAGCUAAAGAAGUUAAAUCAUUUGCUCCAGGCUGCUAAGCUCAAUGGUUGAGUUAGGAAUUGAACCCAACCGUCUCAGUGCUUAACUUAAUUUAGA